rnacentral:rRNA from 1 species
UNANCNCAUGCAAGUCGAGCGNNCNGAAGGGAGCUUGNUCCCGGAUGUUAGCGGCGGACGGGUGAGUAACACGUGGGUAACCUGCCUGUAAGACUGGGAUAANUCCGGGAAACCGGAGCUAAUACCGGAUAGUUCCUUGAACCGCAUGGUUCAAGGAUGAAAGACGGUUUCGGCUGUCACUUACAGANGGACCCGCGGCGCAUUAGCUAGUUGGUGGGGUAAUGGCUCNNCAAGGCGACGAUGCGUAGCCGACCUGAGAGGGUGAUCGGCCACACUGGGACUGAGACACGGCCCAGACUCCUACGGGAGGCAGCAGUAGGGAAUCUUCCGCAAUGGACGAAAGUCUGACGGAGCAACGCCGCGUGAGUGAUGAAGGUUUUCGGAUCGUAAAGCUCUGUUGUUAGGGAAGAACAAGUGCGAGAGUAACUGCUCGCACCUUGACGGUACCUAACCAGAAAGCCACGGCUAACUACGUGCCAGCAGCCGCGGUAAUACGUAGGUGGCAAGCGUUGUCCGGAAUUAUUGGGCGUAAAGGGCUCGCAGGCGGUUUCUUAAGUCUGAUGUGAAAGCCCCCGGCUCAACCGGGGAGGGUCAUUGGAAACUGGGAAACUUGAGUGCAGAAGAGGAGAGUGGAAUUCCACGUGUAGCGGUGAAAUGCGUAGAGAUGUGGAGGAACACCAGUGGCGAAGGCGACUCUCUGGUCUGUAACUGACGCUGAGGAGCGAAAGCGUGGGGAGCGAACAGGAUUAGAUACCCUGGUAGUCCACGCCGUAAACGAUGAGUGCUAAGUGUUAGGGGGUUUCCGCCCCUUAGUGCUGCAGCNAACGCANUAAGC